AUGACAACUAACAGUGUUGAUGUUUUCUCUGCCACUUCCAACAGAGAGGCUCAACAGAGCUCAUCUCGCCAUCCGCUUCCGAGAAACCCCCGGAGGCCAGCGUACCAGAUUGGGCACGCGCCCACAGCUCAACCCGGGACGUUGGCAAUGCAAGAGGAGUCCUCUGAGAAGAGCAGGGCCUCGGGUGCCGUCCGCAAGAAGAUGUCCUCCAAAGGGCCGCCGGAGCAGCUUUCCACGCACAGCAGCAUGGUCAGUGUUGCGGGCAGCGCUCUCUCUGAACGCAUCCCCCGGAAGACCAAUAUGGCAUUGUCAGAGGAUCUCCGCAUUGUGUCUCCAGAGACGGAUAGUGGAUUUGUGGGAUCUGAAGCAAGCAGAGUGUCCCCCUUGGCACAAAGGCCGAAACAACACUUAUCCCAUUUGAGGUCCCAUGGGAUCCUGGGAGAAUCGGCCCCGCAGGAUGGAGUCCAGCAACCGGCUCCUCAGUGGAAGAGACCCAUCGUGAUGGAACCGCUAAGAGCAAAGGUCUCACCGAGGGACCGAUCUUCAGAGGAUGGUCCCCAGAGACGGACCCUACCCAAAAGAGGCCCGUUCCGGAUCCGCUCCAUUCGGCAACAGCGGACAAACAGCUUUGCGAGUGAGAUGGAGCCAGGCACUGAGAGUUCUCACACCAACUCAGAUCCAGAGGCAGAACCACCUGGAGAACAUGGCACAUGCAAUCCUCCUCCGAGCGAGCCGAGACACUCUGUUUCUCCCAGUUCUUCCUCUCUGACAUGUGGCGACAGCCUUCUUGACUCCCGCUUGAAGCGAGACCAAGCUAUUGCGGAUUUGCAGAAUGAAGUUUCGCAUCUGCGGCAAAGUCUGGAUGAGACCCUCCAUGGACCCUAUGGCUACCCAAAGCACUUCUCCUCCCCACGUGCCUCUAAACUCCAGCCGCCACUCCAAGGCAUGGCCUGCUUCUCCACAAGGGACAAUCCAGUUCUGAAAACCUCAGGGAAAAACACAGCCAAAUCUGAGAGUCUACCUCCAACCAUCAGUUCAGAAGAGCGGGUGAGGAGAACAUCACUCCCCCAAAGUGGGACUCAGGACAAUCCCACUUCAUCCAAGUUGGAUUCUUCUACUCCAAAGCCCCAGAAACAAAGACAGAAGGAAGCCUCUACUUCUGAAACAAAACCCUCGAAGCAGACCAUUCUACGAGGACCUUACACAGGGACGCCGUAUGCCUUUACAAACCCAGAGCCCCAAGGACCACGGAUCAUCAAAGGCACUUCCUCCUGUUCCCGUUGCCAAGAAGCCCAGUCACACCUCGGAGAUGUACUCACAAGUGACUCAGGCAGUGAUGAGACUGAAGGUGGUGACUCCCAGAGGGAUCCCUUUGGACCAUCUCAGCAUACAACUCAGAAGAAAACAGAAGCACCAAGAUGCCUUUUCUGCAAGGAAACUGGGAAGCACAAAACAAAAGCGCAUGGACAAAACCAUGCAAGAGAGGACACCCUGGCUCAGGACUUUGGAGCACAACAGAAACCUGUCAACCACCGUUCGUCACGACAGCCUGGCCUCUGGCACACUGCUGUCCCAUCACAAGCUCCCACCGUUGGUUACAUCCCCACCAUUCCGUUGGCAGCUUAUCCUUUGUCAUCUAUAAUGUAAGAAUAGUUCCAAUUGUCGGGGGGUUAAUUGGCUCCGAACCAUAUUGCGCCAAAAUGCUAAUGUGUAUGUGUGUGUGUAAAGAAAUCCUUGCAAAAGUUAGUUUGCAAGGGAACUCUGCAGAGGAGCUCUUUUUGCAGAGGCAAGGCCACGCCUAAAACAAUGUAUCUGUUUCUGGCAGGUGGCUGAGUUUGACAGUUGGGAUUUGAGCUUGCUGGGAGAGCACAGGAAAAAGAAGGCUCUCUAAUAGCUACGGUCAAGUAGCUGACUUGAAUAUGCUAUGCUGUAUAUAUUGUAUGCUGAUUGAUUAGUUAUUGAUCUUAUGCAACUACAUGGACAUUGUAUGAUUGCAGAACUGUUUUAUAUUUCAACUCAACAAGCAAGAGUAAAGUUCCUUUGUUCUUUUCAAUUCCUCUGCCUGGUCUGAGUCUUUUGCACAUGGUGUUAUCUGGAUGCUACUGAUUCCGCUAUA
rnacentral:lncRNA from 11 species